UUAAGCGACUAAGCGUACACGGUGGAUGCCCUGGCAGUCAGAGGCGAUGAAGGACGUGCUAAUCUGCGAAAAGCGUCGGUAAGGUGAUAUGAACCGUUAUAACCGGCGAUGUCCGAAUGGGGAAACCCAGUGCAAUUCGUUGCACUAUCGUUAACUGAAUACAUAGGUUAACGAGGCGAACCGGGGGAACUGAAACAUCUAAGUACCCCGAGGAAAAGAAAUCAACCGAGAUUCCCCCAGUAGCGGCGAGCGAACGGGGAGCAGCCCAGAGUCUGAAUCAGCUUGUGUGUUAGUGGAACGGUCUGGAAAGUCCGACGGUACAGGGUGAUAGUCCCGUACACCAAAAUGCACAGGUUGUGAACUCGAAGAGUAGGGCGGGACACGUGGUAUCCUGUCUGAAUAUGGGGGGACCAUCCUCCAAGGCUAAAUACUCCUGACUGACCGAUAGUGAACCAGUACCGUGAGGGAAAGGCGAAAAGAACCCCGGCGAGGGGAGUGAAAAAGAACCUGAAACCGUGUACGUACAAGCAGUGGGAGCACCUUCGGGUGUGACUGCGUACCUUUUGUAUAAUGGGUCAGCGACUUAUAUUCUGUAGCAAGGUUAACCGUAUAGGGGAGCCGCAGGGAAACCGAGUCUUAACUGGGCGUUAAGUUGCAGGGUAUAGACCCGAAACCCGGUGAUCUAGCCAUGGGCAGGUUGAAGGUUGGGUAACACUAACUGGAGGACCGAACCGACUAAUGUUGAAAAAUUAGCGGAUGACUUGUGGCUGGGGGUGAAAGGCCAAUCAAACCGGGAGAUAGCUGGUUCUCCCCGAAAGCUAUUUAGGUAGCGCCUCGUGAAUUCAUCUUCGGGGGUAGAGCACUGUUUCGGCUAGGGGGUCAUCCCGACUUACCAACCCGAUGCAAACUACGAAUACCGAAGAAUGUUAUCACGGGAGACACACGGCGGGUGCUAACGUCCGUCGUGAAGAGGGAAACAACCCAGACCGCCAGCUAAGGUCCCAAAGUCAUGGUUAAGUGGGAAACGAUGUGGGAAGGCACAGACAGCCAGGAUGUUGGCUUAGAAGCAGCCAUCAUUUAAAGAAAGCGUAAUAGCUCACUGGUCGAGUCGGCCUGCGCGGAAGAUGUAACGGGGCUAAACCAUGCACCGAAGCUGCGGCAGCGACACUAUGUGUUGUUGGGUAGGGGAGCGUUCUGUAAGCCUGCGAAGGUGUGCUGUGAGGCAUGCUGGAGGUAUCAGAAGUGCGAAUGCUGACAUAAGUAACGAUAAAGCGGGUGAAAAGCCCGCUCGCCGGAAGACCAAGGGUUCCUGUCCAACGUUAAUCGGGGCAGGGUGAGUCGACCCCUAAGGCGAGGCCGAAAGGCGUAGUCGAUGGGAAACAGGUUAAUAUUCCUGUACUUGGUGUUACUGCGAAGGGGGGACGGAGAAGGCUAUGUUAGCCGGGCGACGGUUGUCCCGGUUUAAGCAUGUAGGCUGGUUAUCCAGGCAAAUCCGGAUAAUCAAGGCUGAGGUGUGAUGACGAGGCACUACGGUGCUGAAGUAACAAAUGCCCUGCUUCCAGGAAAAGCCUCUAAGCAUCAGGUAACAUCAAAUCGUACCCCAAACCGACACAGGUGGUCAGGUAGAGAAUACCAAGGCGCUUGAGAGAACUCGGGUGAAGGAACUAGGCAAAAUGGUGCCGUAACUUCGGGAGAAGGCACGCUGGUGUGUAGGUGAAGUCCCUGCGGAUGGAGCUGAGACCAGUCGAAGAUACCAGCUGGCUGCAACUGUUUAUUAAAAACACAGCACUGUGCAAACACGAAAGUGGACGUAUACGGUGUGACGCCUGCCCGGUGCCGGAAGGUUAAUUGAUGGGGUUAUCCGUAAGGAGAAGCUCUUGAUCGAAGCCCCGGUAAACGGCGGCCGUAACUAUAACGGUCCUAAGGUAGCGAAAUUCCUUGUCGGGUAAGUUCCGACCUGCACGAAUGGCGUAAUGAUGGCCAGGCUGUCUCCACCCGAGACUCAGUGAAAUUGAACUCGCUGUGAAGAUGCAGUGUACCCGCGGCAAGACGGAAAGACCCCGUGAACCUUUACUAUAGCUUGACACUGAACAUUGAGCCUUGAUGUAGGAUAGGUGGGAGGCUUUGAAGCGUGGACGCCAGUCUGCGUGGAGCCAACCUUGAAAUACCACCCUUUAAUGUUUGAUGUUCUAACGUUGGCCCCUGACCGGGGUUGCGGACAGUGUCUGGUGGGUAGUUUGACUGGGGCGGUCUCCUCCCAAAGCGUAACGGAGGAGCACGAAGGUUAGCUAAUCCUGGUCGGACAUCAGGAGGUUAGUGCAAUGGCAUAAGCUAGCUUGACUGCGAGCGUGACGGCGCGAGCAGGUGCGAAAGCAGGUCAUAGUGAUCCGGUGGUUCUGAAUGGAAGGGCCAUCGCUCAACGGAUAAAAGGUACUCCGGGGAUAACAGGCUGAUACCGCCCAAGAGUUCAUAUCGACGGCGGUGUUUGGCACCUCGAUGUCGGCUCAUCACAUCCUGGGGCUGAAGUAGGUCCCAAGGGUAUGGCUGUUCGCCAUUUAAAGUGGUACGCGAGCUGGGUUUAGAACGUCGUGAGACAGUUCGGUCCCUAUCUGCCGUGGGCGCUGGAGAAUUGAGGGGGGCUGCUCCUAGUACGAGAGGACCGGAGUGGACGCAUCACUGGUGUUCGGGUUGUCAUGCCAAUGGCACUGCCCGGUAGCUAAAUGCGGAAGAGAUAAGUGCUGAAAGCAUCUAAGCACGAAACUUGCCCCGAGAUGAGUUCUCCCUGAGACUUUAAGUCUCCUGAAGGAACGUUGAAGACGACGACGUUGAUAGGCCGGGUGUGUAAGCGCAGCGAUGCGUUGAGCUAACCGGUACUAAUGAACCGUGAGGCUUAACCU
rnacentral:rRNA from 1 species